ensembl:misc_RNA 7SK 7SK RNA
GAGUAUGGGAGUGCUCUGACAUCAACAGCUGUCAUUUCACUGACUGCCAAGGCUGACUUGUCUGAUGUGGCUGGUUGUGCAGCAGCUCCACCCUCAUCACCUUGGUUGUUCCUCCUGAAGUGAAAAACAACUUUCCAAAUAGAGGAGCGCUGCCCUUCGGUCAAGGCUUUAUGUAGUAUUCAAAUUCGGAUUCUUUCCAUUUUUU